rnacentral:rRNA from 1 species
UACGUAGGUGACAAGCGUUGUCCGGAUUUACUGGGCGUAAAGAGCGCGCAGGCGGUCGUUCAAGUCGAGUGUGAAAGCCCCCGGCUCAACUGGGGAGGGUCAUUCGAUACUGAUCGACUCGAAGGCAGGAGAGGGUAGUGGAAUUCCCGGUGUAGUGGUGAAAUGCGUAGAUAUCGAUCGGAACACCCAUGGCGAAGGCAGCUCGCUGGCCUGCAACUGACGCUGAGGCGCGAAAGCGUGGGGAGCAAACAGG